UACGGAGGCGCAAGCGUUACUCGGAAUCACUGGCGUAAGAGCGUGUAGGCGGUUGUAAGUUGGAGUGAAUCCUAUGGCUCAACCAUAGAACUGCUUCCAAACUGCUUACCUAGAAUGAGGAGAGGUAGAUGGAAUUUCUGGUGUAGGGGUAAAUCCGUAGAGAUCAGAAGGAUACCGAUUGCGAAGGCGAUCUACUGGAACUUUAUGACGCUGAGACGCGAAAGCGUGGGGAGCAAACAGG
rnacentral:rRNA from 1 species